rnacentral:rRNA from 1 species
UACGUAGGGGGCAAGCGUUGUUCGGAAUGACUGGGCGUAAAGGGUGCGUAGGCGGUGUAGCAAGUUAGAAGUGAAAUACCUAGAGCUUAACUCAGGUGCUGCUUCUAAAACUGCUAUACUUGAGUGCAGUAGAGGAAAGUGGAAUUCCUAGUGUAGCGGUGGAAUGCGUAGAUAUAUGGAAGAACACCAGUGGCGAAAGCGGCUCUCUGGUCUGUAACUGACGCUGAGGUUCGAAAGCGUGGGUAGCAAACAGG